rnacentral:rRNA from 1 species
AUUGAACGCUGGCGGCAGGCCUAACACAUGCAAGUCGAACGAGUGGCGGACGGGUGAGUAAUGUCUGGGAAACUGCCUGAUGGAGGGGGAUAACUACUGGAAAAGGUAGCUAAUACCGCAUACCAUCAGAUGUGCCCAGCGGGGAUUGGCUGGUAGGUGGGGUAACGGCUCACCUAGGCGACGAUCCCUAACUGGUCUGAGAGGAUGACCAGCCACACUGGAACUGUGACACGGUCCAGACUCCUACGGGAGGCAGCAGUGGGGAAUAUUGCACAAUGGGGGCAAGCCUGAUGCAGCCAUGCCGCGUGUGUGAAGAAGGCCUUCGGGUUGUAAAGCACUUUCAGCGGGGAGGCGUUACCCGCAGAAGAAGCACCGGCUAACUCCGUGCCAGCAGCCGCGGUAUAC